UACGUAGGGGGCAAGCGUUGUCCGGAUUUAUUGGGCGUAAAGAGCGCGUAGGCGGCUUGGUAAGUCGGAUGUGAAAUCCCGGGGCUCAACCCCGUGACUGCACCCGAAACUGCCCGGCUAGAGGUAGGUAGGGGAGAUCGGAAUUCCUGGUGUAGCGGUGAAAUGCGCAGAUAUCAGGAGGAACACCCGUAGCGAAGGCGGCACUCUGGGCCGAUACUGACACUGAGGAGCGAAAGCGUGGGGAGCGAACAGG
rnacentral:rRNA from 1 species